rnacentral:rRNA from 1 species
GAUGAACGCUGGCGGCGUGCCUAAUACAUGCAAGUCGAGCGAACAGAUGAGAAGCUUGCUUCUCUGAUGUUAGCGGCGGACGGGUGAGUAACACGUGGGUAACCUACCUAUAAGACUGGGAUAACUCCGGGAAACCGGGGCUAAUACCUGAUAAUAUUUUGAACCGCAUGGUUCAAUAGUGAAAGGCGGCUUCGGCUGUCACUUAUAGAUGGACCCGCGCCGUAUUAGCUAGUUGGUAAGGUAAUGGCUUACCAAGGCGACGAUACGUAGCCGACCUGAGAGGGUGAUCGGCCACACUGGAACUGAGACACGGUCCAGACUCCUACGGGAGGCAGCAGUAGGGAAUCUUCCGCAAUGGGCGCAAGCCUGACGGAGCAACGCCGCGUGAGUGAUGAAGGUUUUCGGAUCGUAAAACUCUGUUGUUAGGGAAGAACAAAUUUGUUAGUAACUGAACAAGUCUUGACGGUACCUAACCAGAAAGCCACGGCUAACUACGUGCCAGCCGCCGCAGUAA